rnacentral:rRNA from 1 species
CCUACGGGUGGCAGCAGUGAGGAAUAUUGGUCAAUGGGCGGAAGCCUGAACCAGCCAAGUAGCGUGAGGGAUUAAGGCCCUACGGGUCGUAAACCGCUUUUGCACGGGGAUAAGACCCUGCACUCGUGCCGGCCUGCAGGUUCCCUGCGAAUAAGGGCUGGCCAAACCCGUGCCAGCCGCCGCGGUAAUACGGAAGGCCCGAGCGUUAUUCGGAUUCAUUGGGGUUAAAGGGGGCGUAGGCGGGCGUUCAAGUCCGCGGUAAAAAAGCGCGGCUCAACCCCGGCCCGCAGUUGAAACUGGGGGCCUGGAGUGGGCGAGAGGAAGGCGGAAUUCGUGGUGUAGCGGUGAAAUGCAUAGAUAUCACGCAGAACCCCGAUUGCGAAGGCAGCCUGCCGGGGUGCGACUGACGCUGAGGCACGAAGGUGCGGGGAUCGAACAGGAUUAGAUACCCCGGUAGUC